AGAAUAACACUCGUGCGCAUGCGUUGGACGAAUGAAGCACAUGGAGCCUGAAAUCGAAGUACAUUUUUUAAUAACUUAAUCGUAGUUUUAAUUAUUAAGUGUGCAGAAUAUUUGCUAGUACGUGAUUUUUUCUGGCUUUUGCUAGUUGACUCAUUUGCAUAAUUCACCAGACCAUGGUCUCAUUACAAUGAUGUAAUGAUAAUGAAUAUUCAUUGUCAGACACUACAAAAAUCAGGACCAAUUUUAUUAUUAAUGCUGUUUGCUAGUUGACUCAUUUUCAGUGAGGCUAUGUGUGGCAGGCCGCACAGCAGCGACUGUAGUACAUGGUAACCAACUACUGCCUCUUUAGACUGACAAGGUCCAGAAUCGAAUGAACAUUUUAAAGAUAGUGGACAAAAAACGAAAACCGAGGAUAGUGGUUACGUAAUACAUCCUGCACCAUACUGGCUGUGUGGACAUGUUCAUAAGCGCCCCUACCGUUCUUGUCCUGAAGUAAAAUGUAUGAUUUCAUUGCUAGAUGUGGCUUCAAGAUGAUUUAAGAUUCAUGAUAAUGAUUGCGAUAUGAAGAGAAGAGUUGACUAAGAGAUACAAGAAACUAAUGUCUUAAACAAAAUUCAACCACAAAGAAAAAUAUAUUUUGUAUUUUAUGAUUAAAAAUGAAGUCAUCGCUCUGUUAACUCCACCUAGCGAGAACUGUGAACCAAUCUGCAAGAAGCCGAGAUGCUUUUUCUGAUUUAUUUUAAGUGAAGACAAUAUCUUUAAUAAUUCAAAUACAUAACUGAUUGAUAAUUUAGAUAGGCCUAUGGUAUUGUAUUGUAUUGAUAAAUUAGUGCUGUAUAUGAUAAAUUAGAUAGGCCUAUGGUAUUGUAUUGUAUUGAUAAAUUAGAUAGGCCUAUGGUAUAUGUAUUAAUAAAUUUAUGCUGUAUGCCGGCAAACAAAGAAGGGUACAGAGGCAAGAAGACUGGAGGUAAGUGGGUUGGUUAUUUACUCAAAGAUCUUAUAACAAGACAGCGCACUUGCCGUUUGUAAGCGUAAUGUAUUAGACUUUCAUGGGACUGCACAAUAUGUAAAGCUCAAUAGGUUUUUGACUAUUUGUACGCAUAAUGAAUUUGAAAACUCCAUGUGACUACACGCUCGUAACAACUAAAACCUAAUUAAAGUGACCUGCGAGUUUGUUAUAAGAUCUUUGAUCCUCCAAGUAAGAUGAGGGUGCCUUCAUCUUAACUAGAGGGCGGUAUCUAUUACAUUAAAUAGUGCUUCUAAAUAAAAUGGGGGCGCUAUUUAAUGCAAGAGAUGCUGCCCUCUAGUUAAGGUGAGGCCCUUCAUUUUAACUAGAGGGCAGUAUCUAUUGUAUUAAAUAGCACCCCUAAAUAAAAUGAGGGCGCUAUUUAAUGCAUGAGAUACUGCCCUCUAGUUAAGGUGAAGGGCCCUCAUUUUAACUAGAGGGCAGUAUUUAUUGCAUUAAAUAGCACCCCUAAAUAAAAUGAGGGUGCUAUUUAAUGCAUGAGAUACUGCCCUCUAUGGAAAAUGAGGGCGCCCUCAUUUUAACUAGGGGGCAGUAUCGCAUUAAGUAGCGCCUCUAAAUAAAGUGAGGGCGCUAUUUAAUGCAACCUAGUUUUGUUUAGAGGUGGUAUUCGGGUUGGUGAUGAAAACAAUGAUGCAAGGAACAAAUAAAGACAAGAAUUU
rnacentral:lncRNA from 1 species